AUGACGGCUCAUUUUCAGGUUCAUGGCAUGUGGCUUCCGUAUUGGUUCGCAUCGCGCUCUGUACAUUGUCAGGAACUAGCAUCUGCCAAAUGGCAUCUCCAUGGGAAACAUGUACUUGAUGCUCUAAUGGAGAAGAAAUUGUUGCCUGUUGCCAAAUUUCAUUUCAACUCACUGAAGAACAGCACUAAGCCGGUAGCUGCCAGGAUCGUCACAGCCUACAGAGCUUGCAAGGAUGCCAUCCAGCCAUGUGUGGCCAAGUCUCAAGAGUUUGCAGAUCACUUCUGGCAGGUGACGCUGAUGCAUAUAGUAAUAUCAUAG
rnacentral:rRNA from 1 species